rnacentral:lncRNA from 13 species
AUGGCCAACGUGACAUGGUGUGAUGAAAGAAACAUACAGGAACUCAAAUCCUUCUGUUCACCUGAUUUAGAAUUCCUCACAAUCAAAUGUAGACCGCAUUAUCUACCAAGAGAAUUCUCUUCGAUUAUAAUCACAGCCGUAUAUAUCCCCCCCCAAGCAGACACAUCGAUGGCUCUGAACAAACUUUAUUUAACUCUCUGCAAACUGGAAACAAUUUAUCCGGAGGCUGCUUUCAUUGUAGCUGGGGAUUUUAACAAGGCUAAUCUGAAAACAAGACUCCCCAAGUUUUAUCAGCAUAUCGAUUGCGCAACCAGGGGAGGAAAGACCUUGGAUCAUUGUUACUCUAACUUCCGCGACGCAUAUAAGGCCCUGCCCCGCCCCCCUUUCGGAAAAGCUGACCACGACUCCAUUUUGUUGAUCCCUGCCUACAGACAGAAACUAAAACAAGAGGCUCCCACGCUGAGGUCUGUCCAACGCUGGUCCGACCAAGCUGACUCCACACUCCAAGACUGCUUCCAUCACGUGGACUGGGAGAUGUUUCGUAUUGCGUCGGAUAACAACAUUGACGAAUACGCUGAUUCGGUGUGCGAGUUCAUUAGAACGUGCGUUGAAGAUGUCGUUCCCAUAGCAACGAUUAAAACAUUCCCUAACCAGAAACCGUGGAUUGAUGGCAGCAUUCGUGUGAAACUGAAAGCGCGAACCACUGCUUUUAAUCAGGGCAAGGUGUCUGGUAACAUGACCGAAUACAAACAGUGCAGCUAUUCCCUCCGCAAGGCUAUCAAACAAGCUAAGCGCCAGUACAGAGACAAAGUAGAAUCUCAAUUCAACGGCUCAGACACAAGAGGCAUGUGGCAGGGUCUACAGUCAAUCACGGACUACAGGAAGAAAUCCAGCCCAGUCACGGACCAGGAUGUCUUGCUCCCAGGCAGACUAAAUAACUUUUUUGCCCGCUUUGAGGACAAUACAGUGCCACUGACACGGCCUGCAACGAAANNNNNNNNNNAACACUGA